UGGGAUGUCGUCUAAUGGUAGGACAGCGGUCUCUGGCUCCGUAUGUGAGGGUUCAACUCCUUCCAUCCCAGCCA
rnacentral:tRNA from 1 species